rnacentral:rRNA from 1 species
UACGAAGGGGGCUAGCGUUGCUCGGAAUCACUGGGCGUAAAGGGUGCGUAGGCGGGUCUUUAAGUCCGGGGUGAAAUCCUGGAGCUCAACUCCAGAACUGCCUUUGAUACUGAAGAUCUUGAGUUCGGGAGAGGUGAGUGGAACUGCGAGUGUAGAGGUGAAAUUCGUAGAGAUUGGGAAGAACACCAGUGGCGAAGGCGGCUAUCUGGACGGUUUCUGACGCUAAGACGCGAAAGCGUGGGGAGCAAACAGG